GUUUCUCCUCCAAGAAACUU
rnacentral:snRNA from 1 species